rnacentral:rRNA from 1 species
CAUCGGGGGUAUGCCCUUAGUACGGCGAGUGAAGCGGCAAAAGCUCAAAUUUGAAAUCUGGCACCUUCGGUGUCCGAGUUGUAAUUUGAAGAAGGUAACUUUGGAGUUGGCUCUUGUCUAUGUUCCUUGGAACAGGACGUCACAGAGGGUGAGAAUCCCGUGCGAUGAGAUGCCCAAUUCUAUGUAAAGUGCUUUCGAAGAGUCGAGUUGUUUGGGAAUGCAGCUCUAAGUGGGUGGUAAAUUCCAUCUAAAGCUAAAUAUUGGCGAGAGACCGAUAGCGAACAAGUACAGUGAUGGAAAGAUGAAAAGAACUUUGAAAAGAGAGUGAAAAAGUACGUGAAAUUGUUGAAAGGGAAGGGCUUGAGAUCAGACUUGGUAUUUUGCGAUCCUUUCCUUCUUGGUUGGGUUCCUCGCAGCUUACUGGGCCAGCAUCGGUUUGGAUGGUAGGAUAAUGACUAAGGAAUGUGGCUCUACUUCGGUGGAGUGUUAUAGCCUUGGUUGAUACUGCCUGUCUAGACCGAGGACUGCGUCUUUUGACUAGGAUGUUGGCAUAAUGAUCUUAAGCCACCCGUCUUGAAACACAGACCAAAA